UACGGAGGGGGCUAGCGUUGUUCGGAAUUACUGGGCGUAAAGGGCGCGUAGGCGGCGCGAUAAGUUGGGCGUGAAAGGCCCGGGCUCAACCCGGGGACUGCGCUUGAUACUGUCGCGCUGUGAGUCCGGGAGAGGAUGGCGGAAUUCCCAGUGUAGAGGUGAAAUUCGUAGAUAUUGGGAAGAACACCGGUGGCGAAGGCGGCCAAUCUGGACCGGCACGUGACGCUGAGGCGCGAAAAGCGUGGGGAGCAAACAGGGAUUAA
rnacentral:rRNA from 1 species